ACCAGAGCUCAGUAAGAUAUGAAACAUGAGCUGUGAUUGGUUGUCAUGACAAUUUCUGUCCUCAAACAGAUUGGUGAAUCUAGGCCUUAGAAUCCAAACUCAAUUGAGGAAAUGUACAUGUGUGUGAAGGAAAGGUGAAGUAGCGGGUCAUAAGAACACGCAGUUAUUGGGAGCAAGCAGAAUAUUUGUUUUGACAUCUGGUGGUAUGACUAACAUUUUACAGCUUCCCACACCCGUCAGGAAAUGGUUAUCAGCAAUGCUGAUUAGAAAGUAAGCACUGGGUAUUCUGGUGAGAAGGGUUCACUAUGUAUCCACUAUCGGACUGUACGAUAGAAAAAAUAUCACCCCAGGGAAUGUGUUUCCGCUGUUCAUGAGCUGAGUGGUGACAUGCUUUAUACCACUUCAUCCUACACCUGGAAUGGCUCACAGUGCCGCUGCUAAACAACAUCUUGAUCCUCAUAUACAUGAAAAUUUGAAGAUACAUAUUCUGUGGUUUUGAUUAAUAAUUGUUUGCUGUGACAGGCCCAAAUAAAGUUUAUACAUGUGCACUAGAUGUGUGGUAUUGUUUACAUGGGGGAUGCAGGA